UUUGACAGGCCACUGAAAGACGCAAUCAAAUCAUUUUAAGGGGAAGGCUUCAGGAUUCUUUUAGGAAGGAGGUCGUCUCUUUGCUAUGCUAUAAGGUCAGAACAGACACCACAAUAAGAGGAUGCCAUGAAGAAGGCUUAUAACGAAGGAGUCAAAGUCCGGCCAAGUGUCAAACUAGAAAAGAGCCAAACCAUCAUCGCUGAUGUUCUAUUAUUGGACUAGGACAGACAUGCAGGUAACUCAUUACUCACGCGAGUGAAAUAGAUGAGGACACAAUUCUCUGAAGGACCACACCCAGGAUCGGGCAUUAAGGAUAAAGUGACAUUGAAGGACGCAGAGGACUAACGGUGGAAGGAUUGUUAUAAAUGUGCAAGAGCUUCCUGGGGAGAGGGCGGAUCCAGUACUGGAACUGCAAGAGAAAAAUAUUCCUUUUGUAUUCUGCAACAACGCAAAACUAUAUAAAAACAUAUCGGUCCUACUCUCUAUGUAUUAUCUCCAAGAAGAAUUCGAAUUUUCUCGCCAAUUUAGGCUAAACUUUCUUGAAUAGAAACUACACUUUACGACAACACUUUUCCUUCCAUUACUUAAUACUUGCAUUUCGAGACAUUUGGUCUUAAA